rnacentral:rRNA from 1 species
CCCGGUGAUAUUUUAACGGCCGCAGUUAAGAGCUGUGCUAAGGUAGCGUAAUCAGUUGUCCUUUAAAUGGGGAAAGGAAUGAAUGGUUUGACGUGAGAAAAGCUGUCUCCGUGAAAGAAAUUGAAAUUUUCUUCCCAGUGAAAAGCCUGGGAUAAGUGUAAAAGACGAGAAGACCCUGUCGAGCUUGAAUAAAGGCCAUAUAAAGAAGGCGUGAAAUUUUGGUUGGGGCAACCUAGGAGUAAGAAAAGACUCCUUUAAGAUAUGUGGAUCCAAAAGUUUUGAAAAGAGAAAAAGCUACCGCAGGGAUAACAGCGUUAUCCUUUCUGAGAGAACAAAUUGAAGAAGGG